GACGAACGCUGGCGGCGUGCCUAAUACAUGCAAGUAGGACGCAGUUUCGCACGGGUGUGUAACGCGUAGGUAAAUGCCUAUUAGAGGGGGAUAACUAUUUGAAACGAUAGCUAAUACCGCAUACUAGUUGAUGGACCUGCGUUGUAUUAGGUAGUAGGUAGGGUAAUGGCCUACCUAGGCAACGUUACAUAGCCGAACCGGUGUGGGGAUCGGGCACACUGGGGCUGAGACACCGCCCAGACUCCUACGGGAGGCAGCAGUAGGGGAUUGUCGGGAAUGGGGGGAAAGCUGACCGGGGAACGGCGCCGGAGUUAAAGAGGGUUUCGGGUCGUAAAACACUUUUGGUAAGGGAGCGGUACUUAACCAGAAAGGGACGGCUAACUACGUGCCAGCAGCCGCGGUAAUUC
rnacentral:rRNA from 1 species